rnacentral:rRNA from 1 species
UACGUAGGGUGCAAGCGUUAAUCGGAAUUACUGGGCGUAAAGCGUGCGCAGGCGGUCUUGCAAGACGGAUGUGAAAUCCCCGGGCUUAACCUGGGAACUGCAUUUGUGACUGCAAGGCUGGAGUACGGCAGAGGGGAUGGAAUUCCGCGUGUAGCAGUGAAAUGCGUAGAUAUGACGGAGGAACACCGAUGGCGAAGGCAAUCCCCUGGGCCUGUACUGACGCUCAUGCACGAAAGCGUGGGGAGCAAACAGG